rnacentral:miRNA from 10 species
UGAGGCAGGAGAAUUGCUUGAACCCAGGAGGUGGAGGCUGCAGUGAGCCGAGAUGGCGCCACUGCACUCCAGCCAGGCUGACAGAGCGAGACUCCAGCUCA